rnacentral:rRNA from 1 species
GGCGGACGGGUGAGUAACGCGCUAGGAAUCUACCGAUUAGUGGGGGAUAGCCCAGGGAAACUUGGAUUAAUACCGCAUACGCCCUACGGGGGAAAGCGGGGGAUCUUCGGACCUCGCGCUAAUCGAUGAGCCUGCGUAAGAUUAGCUUGUUGGUGAGGUAAGAGCUCACCAAGGCGACGAUCUUUAGCUGGUCUGAGAGGAUGAUCAGCCACACUGGGACUGAGACACGGCCCAGACUCCUACGGGAGGCAGCAGUGGGGAAUAUUGGACAAUGGGGGCAACCCUGAUCCAGCCAUGCCGCGUGUGUGAAGAAGGCCUUCGGGUUGUAAAGCACUUUCAGAUGUGAGGAAAGGUGUGUGCUUAAUACGUACAUACUGUGACGUUAGCAUCAGAAGAAGGACCGGCUAACUCCGUGCCAGCAGCCGCGGUAAUACGGAGGGUCCGAGCGUUAAUCGGAAUUACUGGGCGUAAAGCGCGC